rnacentral:misc_RNA from 1 species
GAUGAAGAACGCAGCGAAAUGCGAUACGUAAUGUGAAUUGCAGAAUUCAGUGAAUCAUCGAAUCUUUGAACGCAUAUUGCGCUCUUUGGUAUUCCGAAGAGCAUGCUUGUUUGAGUAUCAGUAAACACCUCAAAGACUUCAAUUUGUUUUGAAUGGCUUUGGACUUGAGCAAUCCCAACACCAGUCUUUACGAUCGGUGGAGGGUUGCUUGAAAUGCAGGUGCAGCUGGACAUUCUCCUGAGCUAAAAGCAUAUUUAUUUAGUCCCGUCAAACGGAUUAUUACUUUUGCUGCAGCUAACAUAAAGGGAGUUUGACCGUAUUGGCUGACUGAUGCAGGAUUUCACAAGGGUCGGCAACGAUUCUUGUAAAACUCGAUCUCAAAUCAAGUAAGACUACCCGCUGAACUUAAGCAUAUCAAUAAGCGGAGGA